rnacentral:rRNA from 1 species
ACCCGCUGAAUUUAAGCAUAUAAGUAAGCGGAGGACAGCAAACUGAAAAGGAUUCCUUUAGUAAUGGCGAAUGAACAAGGAAUAGCUCAUGUUGACAACCUGAACCUCUGGUUUAGAUUUGCAUAAUAUAGAUGCAUUGCCAAUGAAAGUGUGCAUGCAAGCCUUUUGGAAGAAAGCAGCAAUGAAGGUGAAACUCCUGCGUGUCAUGUGCAAUCUUUCAUACAAGGUGUGCUUCCAAGAGUCGCGUUCCUUGGAAGUGGAGCGCAAAUUGGGUGGUAAACUUCAUCCAAAGCUAAAUAUUGGUUUGAGACCGAUAGUGUACAAGUACCAUGAGGGAAAUGUGAAAAGGACUUUGAAAAGAAAGUUAGAAGUACCUGAAGUUGCUGAAAUGAAAGCAAAUGAAAUUGAUUGAUUGUAGCAAGAUUGCAGUGUGCAAAUGUCAGCCAGUCGGUGCACAUGAUUUGGCAUCCUUGGUUGUUUUAUGCGCAUCGUGUGUCUUGCUUUACAUGUCACAACUAAGCCGUGAUGUCAAUAUGUUGAGCAUGAGGGAACGUUCAUUGUUUGGCGUGAUCAUGCCCAAGACUGACAUUUGACUUGGUGCCUUUUGCUAGGCUGUGCGCCCUUUGCAAAGCGAAUGCGUUGCGGCGCGUUUGGCAUUGCGUGACUUUGAUAUUUCAUUUGACCCGUCUCGAAACACGGACCAAGGAGUCUAAUGCAUGUGCGAGUUUGUGGGUUUAUCAUUUGGGGCGAAAUGAAAAUGACAGUCGGGAUGUAUGCACCGACAGCCAACUAAUCAUUUGUGAGAGGUUUGAGUUUGAGCAUAUUUAUUAGGACCCGAAAGAUGGUGAACUAUGCCUGAGAAGAAUAAAUUCAGGGGAAACUCUGAUGGAGGCUUGCAGCGGUACUGACGUGCAAAUCGUUCGUCAUACUUGGGUGUAGGGGCGAAAGACUAAUCGAACCAUCUAGUAGCUGGUUCCCUCCGAAGUUUCCCUCAGGAUAGCUGGAAUUAUAAAGUUUUAUCAGGUAAAGCGAAUGAUUAGAGGAAUUGGGGGCGUGUUGUCCUUGACCUAUUCUCAAACUUUAAAUGGGUAAGAUCCAAUGGUUGUUUUGCAAACUUUUGGGAAAAUAUGAACUCUAUGUGGGCCAUUUUUGGUAAGCAGAAUUGGCGAUGAGGGAUGAACCUAACGUUGGGAUAAGGUGCUUUACUGCUCGCUCAUCAGAUACCAUAAAAGGUGUUGGUUCAUUUAAACAGCAGGACGGUGGUCAUGGAAGUCGAAAUCCGCUAAGGAGUGUGUAACAACUCACCUGCCGAAUGGACUAGCCCUGAAAAUGGAUGGCGCUCAAGCGGGUGACCGAUACCUAGCCGCUGUGGAAAAUAUUGUUCAACAGUGAGUAGGGGGGUGCAUUAGCUUGUGAUGAAGCUCUUGGUGCAAGCCUGGGUGAAACAGCUCUUACUGCAGAUCUUGGUGGUAGUAGC